UGCCUAGAGAGGAUUCAUGGCUUUACUUAAAGCAAGGCGUUGAAAGCUUGGGGAAGAAGAGAGGGUCCCCUGUUGGGUCCAAUCCCUUACACCUGAUAGAUGCACUCUUGGGAUUCUAGUUCUAGUCUCUUUCUCUGCUCCAAUGACACUCCCGGUCUCACACCAUCCCGGACCCUUAUCGCAGAGUUCCACAAGGUGACAUCACCCUAAAGACUGAAGUGAAUCACGCAUUAGUCCUCCUUCCUUGAAGGGAAAGGGAAAAUGACUCCAGAAAGAAUCCAAACUUUUUCUACCUGACCAUGGCUCAAGUCUUUUUCAGAUCCAUCCCCAGGCUUUGCAUUGCCAUUACUUCACACCCCUCAUCAAGGUGUUCUGCUCUUCCUUUCACAUCUCGCUCUACAAUAGCAGAGACAGCAUUUUCGGAGCAAGGUAAUUCUCCCAGAGAAGAUUCAAUUAUUUAGCUCCUGGAAUUAAGAAAAAGAUGAAGAAUUUAUGUAAAAAUACAUAAUAAA